rnacentral:rRNA from 1 species
UACAGAGGGGGCAAGCGUUGUUCGGAAUUACUGGGCGUAAAGGGCGCGUAGGCGGCCCUCUAAGUCAGACGUGGAAUCCCCCGGCUCAACCGUGGAAUUGCGCUUCAAACCGGCAAGCUUGAGGAGGAUAGAGGUGGGCGGAACUGAUGGUGGAGCGGUGAAAUGCGUUGAUAUCAUCAGGAACACCGGAGGCGAAAGCGGUCCACUGGGUCCUUUCUGACGCUGAGGGACGAAAGCUAGGGGAGCGAACGGG